UACGUAGGGCGCAAGCGUUGUCCGGAAUUAUUGGGCGUAAAGAGCUCGUAGGCGGCUUGUCACGUCGAUUGUGAAAGCCCGAGGCUUAACCUCGGGUCUGCAGUCGAUACGGGCUAGCUAGAGUGUGGUAGGGGAGAUCGGAAUUCCUGGUGUAGCGGUGGAAUGCGCAGAUAUCAGGAGGAACACCGGUGGCGAAGGCGGAUCUCUGGGCCAUUACUGACGCUGAGGAGCGAAAGCGUGGGGAACAAACAGG
rnacentral:rRNA from 1 species